GAUGAACGCUGGCGGCGUGCCUAAUACAUGCAAGUCGAGCGAAGCGGGGACGGGUGAGUAACACGUGGAUAACCUCCUAUAAGACUGGGAUAACUUCGGGAACCCUGAUCUAAACCGGAUACUUAUACAUGGUUCCGGGCUGCAUUAGCUAGUUGGUAAGGUAACGGCUUACCAAGGCAACGAUGCAUAGCCGACCUGAGAGGGUGAUCGGCCACACUGGAACUGAGACACGGUCCAGACUCCUACGGGAGGCAGCAGUAGGGAAGCUUCCGCAAUGGGCGAAAGCCUGACGGAGCAACGCCGCGUGAGUGAUGAAGGUCUUCGGAUUGUAAAACUCUGUUAUUAGGGAAGCGGUACCUAAUCAGAAAGCAACGGCUAACUACGUGCCAGCAGCCGCGGUAAUUC
rnacentral:rRNA from 1 species